UCUUUUCUGUAACGAGGAGAUGAGGGAAG
rnacentral:piRNA from 1 species